rnacentral:lncRNA from 1 species
AUGCAAAUUAGAUUAACUAAUUAGAUUAAAAAAAUUUAAAUGAAUAAAUAUUAUUACAUUGAUCCGCAAAGCUUCUAAACUAACACCGACCUUCAAAUCAUAAAUUUGUAAAUCCGCAAAACAAACCUUCAACCUAAAAUAAACAAACACUAAAUUAAAAUGAAUUAAACCUAAAUAACAUAAAUCAUGUACACUUAAUUAUUCAAUAACUUCAAUAAUACUUAUUUCAAUUUAAAAGACAAAAAAAUAGCAAUGUCACAAAAAAUAUAAAAUAUUAAAAAUAACAGGAAAUUGGAAUGGCAGUGAAAUUGGAAUGGCAGUAAAAAAAAUCUUAAUCAUAUACUCGGGGUAUAUGGAAUGGCAGUGAAAUUCAACCUCAAAUACUCGGGGUAUUAGGUGAUCAAUUGAAUCCUUCCAAGUUCUUAUAUAACUAGCUCUGUAAUUAAUAUAAUAUAAGGUCAGUCGAUCUUUCAAAAACAUGGUAUCAAAAUCGAGUCAAUGUGAAAAGGAGACGCAUAUAGAAUCGAGUCAAUGUAAAUAAAUUUCAGGAAACCAUGCAUAUUUCUUUUUUAACUAAAACAGUAAUUAAAUAACUAAAAUAAAACAAGAAAACAUUAAAAACAAAUUUCAAACAGUAUUUAUAGAUAAAUAAAUAUAAUUCCAGUAAUAUCCCUAAUGUUUGAUAUGUAUUUAUGUUUCUAUUCUAUGCAUUAUGAAUAUGCUUGGGCCUUGGUCAUAUCAAAAAUUACAACCCUAACAACAUAACAUCCACAAAAUCAUACCCUAACUACAUAUAUAAGAUCAAAUACACAAAUCAAACACUCUUAAUAAAUAAAAUCAAAGCCCCAAUUAAAAACCCCCAAUUUCAUAAACCCUAAAUUAGAAGAAAAAAACUACAAUAACUAACAUUAUCAAUUUGGAACACUUUAACAAAUCAUAAACUCCCAAUUUCAUAAACCCUAAAUAAUGAAAUGAAUAAGAUUAAAUGAAUAAGAACAACAACAACAAAAAGAAGAGAAGAAGAAGAAGAACAAAAAUAUAUAACAAGUACAUGUAGAAGAACAUUGAAAAACAAAACUAAAUGAAGAUCAAGAAGAUACCUUGCGGAUAACCUUGGAGGAUGACCGGAGGACUGGAAGAUCGUCGGAGGGGUUUGGGGAGGGUUAGGGAAGAGUGGGGAGAAGUGGAGAGGAUUUUGGGGGAAAAGAAAAUGAAAGAAAUCUGGAAUUUUUUUUCUUAUAUAAAAAUUUUCCGGCGGCCAGGCCGCCGGGAAAUACUUAAGUUCGAGUUGACUAAGUUUGACUGUACGGGGGACCACGGCGGCGCAAGUUGUAAUUUUAGGGUUUCCAAAAAAUCCUGGCGGCCAGGCCGCCGGCUACUGAAAAAAAUAAGCGGGAAAAAGUAUCCAGCGGCCCAGCCGCCAGCUAUUUUUCUCCCGACCGUUGAGGGUUUUAGUAUGCCGGCGGCUAGGCCGCCGGAUCACUUCUUCCCGACCGUUGGGGAAAUUGGAGCUGGCGGCCAGGCCGCCGGAUAACUUUUUCCCGACCGUUGGUGAAUUGGAGCUGGCGGCCAGGCCGCUGGCAUUUUUUACAAAAAAAUAUUCCGUCGGCCUGGCCGCCAGAAAAUUUCUCUCAUUUACGAGGGAAAAUUAUGCAGGCGGACAAGUGUAACCUUCCGUCGGCCUGGC